AUUAAGACCAAUCUUACCAUUUCUUCUACUAUUGGUUGGAUAAUAGACUCUGAUUUUAGUAUAUAUUUGUGCACUUCAAUACAGGAUCUUAAAGAUUGUACAAAGUUGAAGCUAGAAGAGAUGACCCUACGUGUAGGCAAUAAAGCAAGAGUUGCUACUAUGGCCAUAGGGACCUAUCCUCUUCAACUAUCAUUUGAUUUAUGUCUAG
rnacentral:lncRNA from 1 species